rnacentral:rRNA from 1 species
UCCGUAGGUGACCAGCGUUGUCCGGAUUUACUGGGCGUAAAGAGCGCGCAGGCGGUCGUUCAAGUCGAGUGUGAAAGCCCACGGCUCAACCGUGGAGGGUCAUUGGAAACUGGGGAACUUGAGUGCAGAAGAGAAAAGCGGAAUUCCACGUGUAGCGGUGAAAUGCGUAGAGAUGUGGAGGAACACCAGUGGCGAAGGCGGCUUUUUGGUCUGUAACUGACGCUGAGGCGCGAAAGCGUGGGGAGCAAACAGG